rnacentral:rRNA from 1 species
GACGGGGCCCGCACAAGCGGCGGAGCAUGCGGAUUAAUUCGAUGCAACGCGAAGAACCUUACCAAGGCUUGACAUACACCGGUAACGCCCAGAGAUGGGUGCCCCUUUGUGGUCGGUGGACAGGUGGUGCAUGGUUGUCGUCAGCUCGUGUCGUGAGAUGUUGGGUUAAGUCCCGCAACGAGCGCAACCCCUAUUGUUAGUUGCCAUCAUUCAGUUGGGCACUCUAGCGAGACUGCCGGUAAUAAACCGGAGGAAGGUGGGGAUGACGUCAAAUCAUCAUGCCCCUUAUGACCUGGGCUACACACGUGCUACAAUGGUUGGUACAACGAGUUGCGAGUCGGUGACGGCGAGCUAAUCUCUUAAAGCCAAUCUCAGUUCGGAUUGUAGGCUGCAACUCGCCUACAUGAAGUCGGAAUCGCUAGUAAUCGCGGAUCAGCACGCCGCGGUGAAUACGUUCCCGGGCCUU